AUACGUAGGGGGCGAGCGUUGUCCGGAAUGAUUGGGCGUAAAGGGCGCGUAGGCGGCGCGGUAAGUCUGGAGUGAAAGUCCUGCUUUCAAGGUGGGAAUUGCUUUGGAUACUGCCGCGCUUGAGUGCAGGAGAGGUUAUCGGAAUUCCCGGUGUAGCGGUGAAAUGCGUAGAGAUCGGGAGGAACACCAGUGGCGAAGGCGGGUAACUGGACUGCAACUGACGCUGAGGCGCGAAAGUGUGGGAGCAAACAGGAUUAGAUACCCUGGUAGUCCACACUGUAAACGAUGAAUACUAGGUGUAGGGGGUAUCGACUCCCUCUGUGCCGCAGUUAACACAAUAAGUAUUCCGCCUGAGGAGUACGGCCGCAAGGUUGAAACUUAAAGGAAUUGACGGGG
rnacentral:rRNA from 1 species